rnacentral:tRNA from 1 species
AUUUAUAUAGUAUAAAUAAAGUAUAUUUGACUUCCAAUUAAAUGGUCUAAUUAUUUUUAGUAUAAAUA